GCCGGAAGCCGCGGGGCGGGAGCCUGAGGCCGGAAGCCGCAGGGCGGGCGGCGGCGCUCCCGGAAGUGGCGCGGACGUCGCCUACGUGCGGGUGGAGCGUUGGGCUGCAGGAGAAGAUGGCGGUCUCCACAGGCGUUAAAGUUCCUCGUAAUUUUCGCUUGUUGGAAGAGCUUGAAGAAGGACAGAAAGGAGUGGGCGACGGUACGGUUAGCUGGGGCCUUGAAGAUGAUGAAGAUAUGACGCUCACGAGGUGGACGGGCAUGAUUAUCGGGCCUCCAAGGACAAAUUAUGAAAACAGAAUAUAUAGCCUGAAAGUAGAAUGUGGACCCAAAUACCCAGAAGCUCCUCCAUCAGUUAGAUUUGUAACCAAAAUUAAUAUGAAUGGAAUAAAUAAUUCCAGUGGCAUGGUGGAUGCACGGAGCAUACCAGUGUUAGCAAAAUGGCAAAACUCAUAUAGCAUUAAAGUUGUACUUCAAGAGCUAAGGCGUCUAAUGAUGUCCAAAGAAAACAUGAAGCUUCCACAGCCACCAGAAGGACAGACAUACAACAAUUAAUUUUAGUGGAUCUCAAACUUGUCUUAAAUCAACAACCUUCUACUCAUGUUAAUGUCUUGAUUAAAUAUCACAAUGCAAAAUACCCACACAUUAAGUAAGAUAAUUCCAGCUGGUAAACAUGACCUGGACAUUUGUAAGAAUAUAUUUAAUAUAUGUACACCCAUUAUGUUUUCAGGUAACAGGAGGAAAAUUCAGCAGUGUUUUUUCUUGUUAAGGCACCGUCCUUUAAGCGUGCACUUGGAGUGCUCAGAGUGGCGCUCAGGUUUACAGGUGGAAGCACGGCGAGAAGUGUCAGAUGGUUGUGUGAGCAGGUGUGUCUCUGAAGAGGCAGCUCAAGAAAGAAAACCGGAAUGGCCUGCUCUGUCCAUCUUGCUUAGAGAAAGAGCUUCAGUUGAACUGUCUGAAGUAGCAGUUAGAGAACAUCAGUGUAUUUUCCGUCCUGGAUUUGGUGUGUGGCAGCAUGGGCGGCUCUGGAAGAUGCGUCGUGAAUUGUAGACUCGGGUCAGAGCUGUGCCCACUCUUCUCCUGGGCACACGGGUGUGCUCGUAUGUACAUGUUAAAGAGUGUAAGUGGAAUGAAUACCAUCUAGUGUCAUGAAUAAUAGGGUUUUGGGAGUUAGCUAAGGAAUUUUUUCCCCCAGAUUUCCUUUCAUAAGUAUAUUUUUUAGAUGUGUAUAUGUAUAACAUUAUAGUAUAAAUAAUUGCUGGGAAGGAUCUAAAAGACACUGAUUUCACUUUUCUGAGAAGUACCAAUAUGAUUUUUCAUUAACAGCUUGAUUGGCUUUUGGUUAUGUUCACAAAAAGAUUCUAGCUCCUAAGAUUUUGGAAAGUGUAUGUAUUUUGUAUAUAAAAUAGAAACCUGAAAAGCAGUGGAUGCAGUGUGUUACAGGACUGAUAGGAGCACUAGCAGUUAAUUCCUACCCGGUACUGUGUUUAUUGAAAAGCAGGAAAUGUAUGGAAAUAGAAUACCUUUUAUGCUAAAAUUUAUAUGCCUCUUUGAAGUUACUAACAGUAGAUGGAAGUCUUAUUAUAGGUCAUGUUGAAAAUGUUGGUUAUUUUAUUUUAUUGUGUUUAUUUAUUGUUUUUGGCCGAGCCACACACCAUGUGGGAUCUUAGUUUCCAGACCUGGGAUCGAACCCGUGUCCCUGCAUUGGAAGCACAGAGCCUUAACCACUUGGACCACCAGGCUAGUCCCUUAAAAAAUGUUGGUUAUUUUAAAAGUAUAGUGGAGUACUGAAAAUAAAAGAUACACCAUAAGUAUUUUCUGAAGAGAAAAUUAUUAAAGGUAUUUGAUGACACAGAACAUAAAUGACAAGUCAAAACCAUCAUUCUGUGAAAUAAGGGAGUUUGAGAAACUCAUGGAGUGAGUACAUGAUUUUUUAAAAAAUCACUGGAUAUGAAGAAGUUGCCCACGGUGUUUAUAUCUUUAAUGGGACAUUCUCACCUAAAAAAAUUCUUAAAGGUCCACUCCAUUUCAUUUUUACAUGUAAGCAAAAGAUCAGUACAAGAGUUUCUCUGCAAGUUCAUUCAUGAAAUUGGUGAUAAAAACCAGAUAGAUUUCACUUUCUUAACUUAGAAGGGUUCCAGGCAUCAUCCUUUCUGCAGUGGGUAACGGACCAGACACCAUGUAAGGUCUUUGCAGGUGACUCCUCUGCUCCAGGUGCAGACUGACUAUGUGAAUUCUUGUGUCUUUAUUCAGUAAUGAACAGCUGCUUGCGUCUGUCUGAGCUUUUGACAGUCAGAAGAUUGUACAAAAGUAAAUAUACCACCUCCAAAGGAGGACUCAUCGCUUGUGCUGAGAAACCAGUAGAAGUGAGAAGCCUGUGGUCAGCAAAGGAGCAAAUGGCUGAACUCACGGAGAGGGAAGACUUUUCCUUGAUUGUUCAGUGCAGUUGAGUAAUUGAAAUAUUGUUCAAAGAUUAUGGGGAAGUGCUGUUUACAAUUGAGUGUGUAUUCUUUCUUCACCUAAUAUAAUAGCUUUUUUUUUCUUUUUAAACAGGCUUUUAACAAUAGAUAACUUUACAAAGUAAUCUGGAAAAUUAACAGUGUAAUGUAAAGUGAGGUUUUGACAGGACACCUACAUUAAAAUGCAGUAAAAAUGAUAAUACUUAAUGUCAUGUUUUUUUGGGUCCAAAGACGCAUCCUUUUCCAAUCAACAAGCAUGGUAAUUGUGGAUGCAUAUUACACAGGGUGGGAUUUUAUAGCCUUGGUAGUUUGUCAGCCCUUAAUUUGUGGGAGAAGAGUAGAUUUUUCUCCACAGUUAACUGACAGAGAAAUGUAUUGUUUUACUUCUUUCAUCUUAAUACUCAGGUGAAAGUAAGUGAGUUCACAAGAUAAUAAAAUAUCUAAUUGCCUGGGUUUCUUAAUCUCAAGUAACAUAUGGACUUCUAUAAGGAGAAAAAUAAUUUUUUUGGACUCAGUAUUGUCUUGAAUUAUUUUUGUUAAAACAUUGUUUAAUGCAUAAAACUAUUAAUGCAAAUGUGUAAACUUCUUAGCCGUAUAAAAUUAUGAAGCAAAUUAACACAAUUACAUAGUAAUUAAAAUGUAAAAGAAUUUAAUAUUGAGGAUGUUUUAUUGAAUUAAUCUCUACUUGAAAUGUAAAUAUUGUCAUCUCUUCUUGGCUUUUUGUUGUCGUUGUUGUUGCUGUGUCUAUACUAGAGUGUGCUGCUGGACCUCAGGUUUUUCUUACCUUUUUCUCUUGCCAGACUGGUACACAAAACCUUUGUUGUGUCAUCUGACCUUCAUUUGGUAUAAAUACAGUUCUCCGUCCGGCCCCCCUCUGCUCUGUUCUGUUCACCAGAGAACUGAAAUUCCUGAGCCUUCUGAUCCCACUUUGAGACACAGUUGUCUUAAACCUUUGAUUCCCGAGAAUUACCGUGAUACUCACUGUGCUGUGUCUGCGGCCCUGUAUAGAAAUAACGAUCUAUGAUUGGUGAUGGUAGAUAAGUUGUUGAUAUAUUAGUAGCAUCAUUUUAAAUUUGGGUGACACAUUUUAAUCCGUUAUAUCUUAAAGCUAAGUGGUAUGAUUCCCCAAACUUAGUGGGAAGAGGUGCUGAUGGGUUUAUUGGUUUAGAAAGUAAGCUGCAGUUGGAAGCAGUCCCUCCCUCCAUCUGUGACUCUGUGCUGUCCACCGUUCUCUGGUGAGUCUCCCUCACCUUCAGCCUCUGUGGCUUCCUUUCCAUCAGCCUGUGGCCUCUGCUUUCUUAUGUUCUGUUCCUUUUCCUCGUCGUCCUGGAUGUGGUCUCCUCACAUCAGCCCUGACCGUGAAUUGGAAGACGGCUUGUGAGAGGUAGCUCGCACCAUCUGCUGGGCUCUGGCUCCUUCCUUCCUGUGCCCUUUGUUUACCAUCUGUCCCCUCCCUACCUGGGUCCUCUCCUACCUUCUCUAUCCCCAGAUUUGCAGAUCUCCUGUAACCAUUGUCCUCCUUGACAUAGUGUCCUUGUGUGUGAUAUUUUUUGCUUUAUCUGCCUCUGAGAGUUGAUGUCCAAGCCACCCGUCACAGUAAUAAAAUUUUAAUAUUAUUUAUGAAUGUAUUCUAAAAGUUUAACAUUCUUUGAAUUAAAAAAAAAUCUCCAAAGU